GUGCUUAGUGUAUGUAUGUAUCCGUGUGUGUGUAGAGCUAUACAUACACACACACACACACACACACACACACACACACACACAUAU
rnacentral:miRNA from 1 species